rnacentral:rRNA from 1 species
CGAACGGGUGAGUAACGCGUGAGCAACCUGCCUAUGACAGUGGGAUAGCCUCGGGAAACCGGGAUUAAUACCGCAUAAAAUCGUAGAAACACAUGUUUCAACGGUCAAAGAUUUAUCGGUCAUAGAUGGGCUCGCGUCUGAUUAGCUAGUUGGUGAGAUAACAGCCCACCAAGGCGACGAUCAGUAGCCGGUCUGAGAGGAUGAACGGCCACAUUGGAACUGAGACACGGUCCAAACUCCUACGGGAGGCAGCAGGU